rnacentral:rRNA from 1 species
GACGAACGCUGGCGGCGUGCUUAACACAUGCAAGUCGAACGGAAUGGCCCCCUUGUGGGGUACUCGAGUGGCGAACGGGUGAGUAACACGUGAGUAACCUACCCUUGACUUUGGGAUAACUUCAGGAAACUGGGGCUAAUACCGGAUAGGAGCUCCUGCUGCAUGGUGGGGGUUGGAAAGUUUCGGCGGUUGGGGAUGGACUCGCGGCUUAUCAGCUUGUUGGUGGGGUAGUGGCUCACCAAGGCUUUGACGGGUAGCCGGCCUGAGAGGGUGACCGGCCACAUUGGGACUGAGAUACGGCCCAGACUCCUACGGGAGGCAGCAGUGGGGAAUAUUGCACAAUGGGCGGAAGCCUGAUGCAGCAACGCCGCGUGCGGGAUGACGGCCUUCGGGUUGUAAACCGCUUUCGCCUGUGACGAAGCGUGAGUGACGGUAAUGGGUAAAGAAGCACCGGCUAACUACGUG